CCUAAAUUAAAUUAAAAAUAUCCCUCUCCAUCUCCCCUCCCCCAACGGGCAUCUCCAUCUCCAUCUCCAUAUCUCAAUUGGCAGAAUCGACUCGUGUUUUCCCCACACCAAGAGUCAUAGCCCUGGCAGAUUUCACGCCGCCGGCCUGCUUGCCCGGAGAAGAAAGCCGAGGAUGUGGCUGUCUCGGAGUUUGGUCCCCGCCGCGGCUGCUACUCGCCAUCAUCAGACGCCGUCGUCUCCUGCAGCAGGUCGCUGGUCCGGAUUCGUGGGCAGCGUCGCGUGGCUGCUGACUCGCGGCCUUGCCUCCGCCGCCAACUGCGCGAACCCGUCCCCAUCCGCCCUCCCAUCGUGAACUAUGGCCUUCCUGAAAUCCACACAGAUAGACUACAAUGCCACCGGCUUACACUGGUGUUGGGAAAUGAAGCUUUGGAAAUCAUAGAAUAUGCUUUUUCAAAAGAUAGGUUGUGAAGACUUUUGACUUCAGCCUCACUGGUGCCUCUUCAAGAUCUUGUAAAUAUGUCAUGAAUACUAUGAUGCUGACUUUUAAGAACAAGAGGCUUGCUUAUGCAGUUAAGGAGAGUACUCUUGAUAGUCUCAUCAUGGAACUAUUGCUCCAGCUUUUGGAUGAUAGUAAUCCCCAAUGGUGGAUGAUGGAAGUCAACUUUUAAGAGCUUCGAAUGUUCUAAUGUUAAAGAUUCUGGAUAACGUAGAAUGUAUUUCAUCAUUUCCUGUGUUUAUAUAUCUGUCAAGACAUGGAUCCAUCAAGAUGGCCAUCUCCAUCAAAUGAACUCUUGAAAUCAGAAACCAGAAGUUCUCUGAUUUGGUUGUUAAAUGUUUGAUCAUGCUCACUAAGGUCUGAGCAGGUUAAGGAGCCAAGACCAGAACCUGUUCCUUAGGCUGUGGGUUCUGUACCCACUUAAGAGUGUAGCUGAUGAAAGCUUCAAAAUGGUGGGAGAGGAAAGAGGCUGUUGCUGAACUAGCCGAACUUGCUUCAACCAAAAAGAUUUCUCUUGGAGAUUUUUUCAGAAAGUUUGUCAUACAUUAAAGAAGGUUAUCACGCAUGUAAAUGUUACUGAAGGAAGGAAAAAAAAGGAAAAAACAUUGUUGUUGCAGCUGAAGCUAUUCAAGUGCUGGGCAACCUUCCUAAGGGCAUGAGAACCCUUCCUAAAAAAAAGAAAAAAAAGAACAAAAAGAAAAAAAAGGAAAAAAAAUGAAAAAAGCAAAAAAAGAAAAAAAAGGAAAAAAUAAUUGUUGAUGCAUUUAAAGCUAUUCAAGCACUGGGCAACUUUGCUGGGGAUCCGAGAGCCCAUUUUUUGGCCAGUUGUCGCUUCUUAUUUACCUGUAAACCGCACCUCAGGACCUUGUCGAUCCAGUUGAUAUAUUAAAGCCUACUUAGGAGAAGUCUGGAUUUUGGGAAGCGGUGAAAGCUUCAGAAUGGCGUGAGAGGAAAGAAGCUGUUGCUGAACUAACCGAACUUGCUUCCACCAAAAAGAUUUCUCUUGGAGUUUUUUUCAGAAUGUUUGUCGUACAUUAAAGAAGGUUAUCACGAAUGUAAAUGUUACUGAAGGAAGGAAGAAAAAGGAAAAAACAUUGUUGUUGCAGCUGAAGCUACUCAAGCGCUGGGCAACCUUCCUAAGGGCCUGAGAACCCUUCUAAAAAAAGAGAAAAAAGGAAAAAAAAGAAAAAAAAAGGAAAAAAAAGGGAAAAAGAGAAAAAAAAUAAUUGCUACUGCGUAUAAAGCUAUUCAAGCAUUGGGCAACAUUGCUAGACUUUUCAGAGCAAGAGCCUUGCUUAUGCAGUUAAGGAAUGUACUCUUCUCAUCAAGGAACUAUUACUCUGGCUUUUGGAUGAUAGGCUUCCGGAGAUGGAUGAUGGAAGUCAAAUUUUAACUGCUUUGAAUGUUCUGAUGUUAAAAAUUCUGGAUAACGCAGAAUAUACGCCAUCAUUUCCUGGGCUUAUAAAUCUGUAAAGACCUCUGGAUCCAUCAAGAUGUCCAUCUUCAGAUCAGAAAUCUUUAAAUGUUUGAUCAUGCUCCAACGGAAUCUGCAACUCCAAAGAAGGUUGUUAAAGUAACUUAUUCUACAUCAUCUGUGGUGACUGGUGGCAUAGAUGGACUUCCACGUGAAGAUAUACGUGAAAAGAUCACCCCCACUUUGUUAAAAGACUUAUAGAGUCCUGAUUGGAAGGUCCACUUGGAGUCUAUUGAAAAUGUAACCAAAAUUCUAGAAGAGGUGAACUGGAACUGGAGAUCUAUUUGGAGCUCUAUAAGGGCGUCUACACGACAGUUCUAAAAUUUGAUAAGUGCUACUUUGUCCAUAAUUGGUACUCUUGGGACUAUAAUGGGAUAUCCAGUUGAGAAGUCAGGCUAGGUACUCUUUUACAAUGGCCAAUGUUGUCAAGUCACCACGUAGCCAAAGGGCGAGCUCCUCAGGACCUUAUCGAUCCAGUUGAUAUAUUAAAGCCUUUGGAGAAGUCCGGAUUUUGGGAAGCGGUGCUUCAAAAUGGCGUGAGAGGAAAGAAGUUGUUGCUGAACUAACCGAACUUCCUUCCACCAAAAAGAUUUCUCUUGGAGACUUUUUCAGAAAGUUUGUCAUACAUUAAAGAAGGUUAUCACGAAUGUAAAUGUUACUGAAGAAAGGAAAAAAAAAGAAAAAAACAUUGUUGUUGCAGCUGAUGCUAUUCUAGAGCUGGGCAACCUUCCUAUGGGACUGAGAAUCCUAGUAAAAAAAAGAAAAAAAGGAAAAAAAGAAAAAAAGAAAAAAAAGAAAAAAAGAAAAAAAAGGGAAAAAAGAAAAAAAUUUGUUGUAGCAUAUAAAGCUAUUCAUGCACUGGGCAACCUUGCUAGGGUUCCGAGAGCCCAUUUUUUGGCCAGUUGUCGCUUCUUAUUGCCUUUAAACCGAAUUUUCAGAACAAGAGCCUUGCUUAUGCAGUUAAGGAGUGUACUCUGAUAGUCUCAUCAAGGAACUGUUUCUCUGGCUUUUGGAUGAUAGGCUUCCGGAGAUGGAUGAUGAAAGUCAAAUCGCAACUGCUUUGAAUGUUCUGAUGUUAAAGAUUCUGGAUAACGCAGAAUACACGUCAUCAUUUCCUGUGCCUAUAAAUCUGUUAAGACCUCUGGAUCCAUCAAGAUGUCCAUCUUCAGAUCAGAAACCUAAAACCUAAAGUUCUCUGAUUUGGUUUUUAAAUGUUUGAUCAUGCUCUAAAGGAAUCUGCAACUCCAAAGAAGGUUGUUAAAGUAACUUAACUGGUGGCAUAGAUGGACUUCCACGUGAAGAUAUAAGUGAAAAAGUCACCCCCACUUUGUUAAAAGGCUUAUAAAGUUCUGAUUGGAAGGUCCACUUGGAAUCUAUUGAAAAUGUAACCAAAAUUCUGGAAGAGAACUGGAACUGCUCCUGUGAAGGCUUGAUCAUUUACACGAAUGUGGCUCGUGCAAGGGAUUCAUUCAGAUUUUUCAGAUGUCUUGAAAAGACUUGGUGACAACAAAAAGCAUAUGCAUGAGUGUACAUUGAGUACCUUAGAUACUUGGCUUGAGUGUACAUCUGGCCAAUGUUAUCCAGUCACCACGUAGCCAAAGGUCGAGGACCUUAUCGAUCAAGUUGAUAUAUUAAAGCCGUUGGAGAACUCUGGAUUUUGGGAAGCGGUGAAAGCUUCAAAAUGGUGGGAGAGGAAAGGGGUUGUUGCUGAACUUGCCGAACUUGCUUCAACCAAAAAGAUUUCUCUUGACGAUUUUUCAGAAAUUUUGUCAUACAUUAAAGAAGG